AGUCGAACGGACUUAAUCGAAAUAUUUAUAUUUUGAAGCGGUUAGUGGCGGACUGGUGAGUAACGCGUAAGGAACCUGCCUAUUAGAGGGGAAUAACAGUGAGAAAUCAUUGCUAAUACCGCAUAUGCCAUAGAUAUCACAUGAUAACAGUGGGAAAGGAGCAAUCCGCUAAUAGAUGGCCUUGCGUCUGAUUAGAUAGUUGGUGGGGUAACGGCCUACCAAGUCGACGAUCAGUAGCCGGACUGAGAGGUUGAACGGCCACAUUGGGACUGAGAUACGGCCCAGACUCCUACGGGAGGCAGCAGUCGGGAAUAUUGCGCAAUGGAGGAAACUCUGACGCAGUGACGCCGCGUAUAGGAAGAAGGUUUUCGGAUUGUAAACUAUUGUCGUUAGGGAAGAGAAAGGACAGUACCUAAGGAGGAAGCUCCGGCUAACUACGUGCCAGCAGCCGCGGUAAUACGUAGGGAGCGAGCGUUAUCCGGAAUUAUUGGGUGUAAAGGGUGCGUAGACGGGAGAACAAGUUAGUUGUGAAAUACCUCGGCUCAACUGAGGAACUGCAACUAAAACUGUACUUCUUGAGUGCAGGAGAGGUAAGUGGAAUUCCUAGUGUAGCGGUGAAAUGCGUAGAUAUUAGGAGGAACACCAGUGGCGAAGGCGACUUACUGGACUGUAACUGACGUUGAGGCACGAAAGUGUGGGGAGCAAACAGGAUUAAAUACCCUGGUAGUCCACACCGUAAACGAUGGAUACUAGGUGUAGGAGGUAUUAAGCCUUCUGUGCCGUCGCAAACGCAGUAAGUAUCCCACCUGGGGAGUACGGCCGCA
rnacentral:rRNA from 1 species